CCCAUGGAAUAUAUUGUCACACAAAAAAUAAAAACGAGCAUCCUUUAUCUCGUCAAAUCUAUGUUACCAUACCACAUCUAGCGUUUACAUUUUGGAUAUUGCUAUAAGGAACACUUUUUAAUGGUUAAAGCAUGGUGUGUGUUCGAUUCCUGGUUCAACCGCAACGCAGGGACAGUCACGAUGAGUGUUUAAAUGAAUUUGCAACAUAUGGGCACAUGGAUACACAAAUGUGGACUAAAACAUCGGAGACAUCAAACAUGUUCGUCGGACAGGACGAGAGUAUAUUAAACAUUUUAUAAAGCAACCAUCAUGUCCAUCUGACAGCUUUAUGAACCUUGCUACAUCGAGAAUCAACAUUGUCUAGGACGAGAAUUUAAACAAUGCGAUUAUGUAUCUUUGCUCAAAAGGUUUUUUGUUUGUAUUGACUCGUUACAAAGUGAUGAGUGAAAGUUAUAAGAUGCUUUUAGAUUUAUUCUGACUCGUAAGACGUUUGAUUUACGUUAAAAGGGCGACAAGAGCCCUUAAAUGAGCCCAAAGAUGUUAUUUUGAUCCGCAAGCGACCUUUAUUUGCCCAGCCAUCGAUUCGCCCCUUGUUUACACGUACCCUUUACCCGUGUUGGUAAUAUUCACGUUGCUCGUUAUUAUGAAGUUAAUAGAGUGGCGAUGCGCCGACCUGGCUAAUGAUAGCAAGGGUCUUGCAAUACUAAGGGAACGCCUAAGGUCUUUACAAAAUGUUAUUUACGUGGGCGCGGCGAUUUGUUUCAUUAGAGAAAGAAAACAAUUAAAUGAACGCCUGAUUGAAAAAAAAUGCGCUUCAAAAACCACUCAAUGAAUACGUUUUCUUUUUUAUUUCGACGACUUUUUAUUCUGCAACGCAUUACAUAUUUUUGUCGAUAAUAACAGUUAUGAUAAUAAGCAUCAGGAUAAGCUUCAUAAACUAUCAUAAUCAUCAUCUGCUUCUUCCUAUUCUUUUUCUUCUUUUUCCGCGUCUUUGAGGGUGUUUUCAAACAUGAGUAUUGAUAUGAUAUUGUCGGAAAUAUUAAAUGCUUUUUAAAGAUGAUACUACCAUAUCCCAUUACAUGUAAAUGUAAAUACACUCACUUGUUUUUCAGGCCUUACCAGACUAUGUGGGCGUACGUACAUGCAAAUAUUACGCAACCCCGUAACAUCUUGGGUUUUCUUUUCAAAUCUGUAAUGUAAACACUCAAAAACAAUACUGGCUCGAACUAUUUAUGUCACCGUGUCAUUUCACGUGAAUGGAUUCAAAUGGCAUGCAUGUUUUGAGAAAACUUUGAAAGUCAACAAUUCCUCUCAUCCACAAAUAACACCUUUUCUUAAGAAUGACAUUUAUCCCUUGUUACACAUAACGGCCUUUGAACAGGGGCCAUUAGGCGUGUAUUUUAGAGCAUUUAAGGGGUCACAUUUCAAGGGGAACCGUUUAAAUUGCUCUUAGGCCUCCGUUAAGGGUAUUUACCGUUUGAAUAAUUCUACUUUUCUGGUCAACUGAACUUUUUCAAACUAUUUGCGAGUUUCUAAAGACGCGACAAUUGACCAUUUGACCUUAGCUGUCAUUUUCCGACAGUUUUGCCAGCUUUAUGACGUGUGAAUUAAAUGACCACCAGGUGUUGUGACUGACAUUAUUUCCAUUAUAUUCUUGUUAAAAAAUCGGAAAAAAAUUAUACACGAAUUACAAGUGUUAGAA